rnacentral:rRNA from 1 species
CGCGCAGGCGGCGCGUUAAGUCCGGGGUGAAAUCCCACGGCUCAACUGUGGGGGGACCCUGGAUACUGGCGUGCUGGAGUGCGGGAGAGGGAAGCGGAAUUCCACGUGUAACGGUGAAAUGUAUAGAUAUGUGGAGGAACACCGGUGGCGAAGGCGGCUUCCUGGACCGUAACUGACGCUGAGGCGCGAAAGCUGGGGGAGCGAACA